GCAGUGGUAGCUCAGUGAUUAAAACAUUAAACUUCUGAUCAGAAGAUUGUGAGUUCAAAUCCCACCACUGUA